UGAUUUAGCUAAAAAUGCAAGUAAACUUUCCAAUAUUGGAAGCACUCAGGCAAAUGAAAACUUCAACAAAAUAGUGGCCUGCAAAAAUCCCAAAGCAUUAUAUUACAGUGGAUCUGAGAGCACAUCCUUUAGAGUAGCAGCUGCUGUUGCACAUAAGAAUAUUGGACAUCUGACAAUUGGAAAGGUUUACGAUACUUUGAUGCUCUCGCCAGGGAUGCACACAAAUGUACAUGAAAGGAGGGUUUCUCGAAAGAGAGAAAAAGAAAAAUUGCGACAAAGCACUGUUGAGUGCAAGAGACGAAGACAUGAACUAAAGAAAUUGAAAUCAAGCCAAAUAUCAACUUCAGAAAUAAAAGAAGGAAAAACCUAUGAAUCAGGUGUUGGAUUGUCUUGUGCUGAUGCUGUAAUAGAAGAAAUCCCAGAUUGAACCCCCUGCUUCCAAACCUGUUUCAGUGCCUACCCAUACAGACUCAAACCUUCUUUAUUUUGACUUGGAAACAACUGGACUAGGUACAUCAGCAGAAAUAACACAGCUUGCUUGCAUAUUUGAAGAAGAAACCUUUAAUAGAUUUUAACAUGUUUAGUGACAUCGUUGAGGAAAAACACACUAUUUGUAAGUAUGUCGAUCAUGUUGGUUUGAAAAGCUUGUGUUUCCAUAGCGUAUCAACUUGAUGUUCAUCAUGUAAGUAUUAUGUGUGGUGUACUGUUUGUGUUCUU